AAAUUAUGGUGAGGACAAUUCCUCAAAAGUUCUCCAAAUUGCUCCCAUGCUUCAAAUAAGGAUUCCAAAUCAUACUGAUGGAAACUAGAAAUUUUUGUCAUAAGCUU